GCUGGGUUAGCUCAGUUGCUUAGAGCAUGGUGCUAAUAACACCAAGUUCACAGGUUCAAUCCCUGCUUACUGCA
rnacentral:tRNA from 1 species